rnacentral:rRNA from 1 species
AUACGGAGGGGGCUAGCGUUGUUCGGAAUUACUGGGCGUAAAGCGCGCGUAGGCGGAUUGGUUAGUUGGGGGUGAAAUCCCAGGGCUCAACCCUGGAACUGCCCUCAAUACUGCCAGUCUAGAGAUCGAGAGAGGUGAGUGGAAUUCCUAGUGUAGAGGUGAAAUUUGUAGAUAUUAGGAAGAACACCAGUGGCGAAGGCGGCUCACUGGCUCGAUACUGACGCUGAGGCGCGAAAGCGUGGGGAGCAAGCAGGAUUAGAUACCCUAGUAGUCC